rnacentral:sRNA from 1 species
GCUUGGUCACUAUGGAGGAGAUAGGCAUCUUGGUGGAGAAGGCUCAGGAUGAGAUCCCAGCACUGUCCGUGUCCCGGCCCCAGACCGGCCUGUCCUUCCUGGGCCCUGAGCCUGAGGACCUGGAGGACCUGUACAGCCGCUACAAGAAGCUGCAGCAAGAGCUGGAGUUCCUGGAGGUGCAGGAGGAAUACAUCAAAGAUGAGCAAAAGAACCUGAAAAAGGAAUUUCUCCAUGCCCAGGAGGAGGUGAAGCGAAUCCAAAGCAUCCCGCUGGUCAUCGGACAAUUUCUGGAGGCUGUGGAUCAGAAUACAGCCAUCGUGGGCUCUACCACAGGCUCCAACUAUUAUGUGCGCAUCCUGAGCACCAUCGAUCGGGAGCUGCUCAAGCCCAAUGCCUCAGUGGCCCUCCACAAGCACAGCAAUGCACUGGUGGACGUGCUGCCCCCCGAAGCCGACAGCAGCAUCAUGAUGCUCACCUCAGACCAGAAGCCAGAUGUGAUGUACGCGGACAUCGGAGGCAUGGACAUCCAGAAGCAGGAGGUGCGGGAGGCCGUGGAGCUCCCGCUCACGCAUUUCGAGCUCUACAAGCAGAUCGGCAUCGAUCCCCCCCGAGGCGUCCUCAUGUAUGGCCCACCUGGCUGCGGGAAGACCAUGUUGGCAAAGGCGGUGGCACAUCACACAACAGCUGCAUUCAUCCGGGUCGUGGGCUCGGAGUUUGUACAGAAGUAUCUAGGUGAGGGCCCCCGCAUGGUCCGGGAUGUGUUCCGCCUGGCCAAGGAGAAUGCACCUGCCAUCAUCUUCAUAGACGAGAUUGAUGCCAUUGCCACCAAGAGAUUCGAUGCUCAGACAGGGGGUAAGUGAUGCUGAAACAAGGCCCGGGGUCUUGGACAGGCUUGUUGCAUGGGAUGCCUGGGACUGACCGUGCUGUGC